AUGAAUGAAACCCAAGCCGGGUCGAGCAAAACUCAAAAACCCCGAAGCCCAAAGGGCACUUCCAUUGCAAAACGACGGGGCGAGUUCUCCGCUAAGAAAAUUUGCUUGCGGGGCAAGGCAAGCAAUAUCAAAUGGGCAUUGUCUGUAAAAGGGUGUCGUCGCCGCCGAUAUGGUUCUACACGAAGAGCGAUUCCUGAUAAACCCUUAUCACCAUGCCCGUGUCCCGAGUUCUCUUCUUUGCUUCCAAGGGUCGCUCAGGAGACGCUUUCAAUUUAAUUCAGAGGUUUGGCCCAUCUAAGAGAUUUCAGUAUUGUAGCUAUGCGAACAAAUCAAGAUACAAUAAUGGGAGGCCAACUAGCGACACUGUAAUUCCCGUGAAAACGCGGGUUUCUCGUUCGUGGAGUAAUUAUAUUGUUCCAACUGGUUUACUGGGAAUUGUUGGAGCAGCAGUUCUUGUUCACAAAAAUGAUGAAAGGAGAGCAAUUUUAAAAGGGCAGGGAAACAAUGUUGAAGGAAACACCUGCAAAGGGCCAAUAAUUGGUGGCCCCUUCACUCUAAUUAAUUCCAAUUACCAAUUAGUUACAGAAAAGAAUCUUCUUGGAAACUGGGUUAUUCUCUACUUCGGUUAUACUUCAUCCCCUAGUGUUGGGCCAGGGCAACUCCAAAUAAUGGCCAAGGCAAUAGAUAUAUUAGAGUCAAAACAGAACUUUAAGCUUCUGCCAGUAUUUGUCACAAUUGAUCCUCAGCGUGAUUCCCCUCUGCAACUUCGUGCUUAUGUUAAAGAGUUCGACCCAAGAAUAGUGGGAUUAACGGGACCUGUCACUGCUAUUAGACAGAUGGCACAGGAAUACCGCGUUUAUUUCAAGAAGGUUGAAGAGGAUGGGGAUGAUUAUCUUAUUGAAUCAUCUGAUAAAAUGUAUUUGCUGAAUCCCAGCAUGGAGGUUGUUGGAUGCUUUGGAGUAGAGUACAGUGCUGAGGAACUGUCAGAAGCUAUACUCAAGGAACUAAGGAGAACUUGAAUAUAUUGGCUGUGGGGCACGGAGUUGCUGUGUUCUCAUGCUGGGUAAGGAAAACUUAAUAUUUUGGACAGGGAUCUGACACUUUUUUGUUUCAUAAUAUCAUUGAAAUUACAAUCAGUGACUCGAGUGUUAAUUUUUGUUCAUGUUCAAGUGUUGCAUGAGCAAGCGGUGGUUUGAUGAGAACUUAAAAGUUCCAUCACCGAGAUUGAUUAGAUGUGAACAUCAAAAUAUUGAUUGGAAUGGGAUCUUUGAAGCUACUUGGAAAUUAUUUUAUUUACUGUGGUUCGUUUCUCACUGAAUCUCUCUCUCUCUCUAACACGCAUGCCCGCCGAUUUGAACUCCUGUAAGCUGUUGGUAAUUGGGAUUGGCUUGAGUAAUUGCUUUCCUAGGAAUACAAAUUUUGCCAACCAAACGUAUCCUUGUGAAAGCAGGCAGGCAUGCAGGCAACUGCUUCCACUAUCUGGCCAGUCUUUCAAGGGCUGGCUUUAGGGCAUAUUACAGAAUCGAUGUCUAAAUCCUGAAUGGGGGCAACACCAACUGCUACUUGAGCAAAAAGCAGCAAUGUGGCACUUCCAUUGACGAAAUCCAGAAGCUUCAAAACUUCUCAGGCAUUUCUCCAUUCUGCUCAGGCUCACCAGCGAAUGCUGAAAGCCCUUUGUCUGUUGAUGGCCUCGCGCCCUGCUGCUUCCUAUGUCUCUUUCAUGUGUAUAGCAUCACUUUCCCUCUUCCCACUCCCUCUCUCUCAGUUCCAUGAUGCACUAUAAUGCCAUAUUCAAGCAUCACUUUCUAGCGUCGCUUUCUAUCCUGCUAAAGAGGUAGGGAGGGCAAAAUGACAAGCCGCCUAUCAACCCCUUGUGAUUUUGUCCGUCUUUUGGCUUCUUGUUACAUUUGGGUGGUAAUGUUGGUCUAUUAGGUUUGGAAAACAGGCUAGCAAAUAUGAUCGUGUAUAUUUUAAUGUAUGCUUUGGUUACUGGUUGGCAUUGGUCGCGCAACUUGCGCGAGCAUGCUUUUGAAUAUCAAAAUAAGCAUGCGUAGCAUACGAUGCAUGGUCUUGAUAAUUAAUAAAUCAAUAUUACAAAUAACACUGGUUUGUUUCUCU